CACGUAGGGGGCAAGCGUUGUCCGGAUUUAUUGGGCGUAAAGGGCGCGUAGGCGGUUUGACAAGUCUGAUGUGAAAUCUCUGGGCUCAACCCAGAGUCUGCAUUAGAAACUGUCGGGCUUGAGUAUGGGAGAGGUGAGUGGAAUUUCCGGUGUAGCGGUGAAAUGCGUAGAUAUCGGAAGGAACACCUGUGGCGAAAGCGGCUCACUGGACCAUAACUGACGCUGAGGCGCGAAAGCUAGGGGAGCAAACAGG
rnacentral:rRNA from 1 species